GUGGGAAUAGCAAGAGAACUGAAAGUGGAGCCUGUCACAUCUCCAGACUCAGUUUUAGUUCUCUUGCUAUUUCCAC
rnacentral:miRNA from 1 species